rnacentral:rRNA from 1 species
GACGAACGCUGGCGGCGUGCUUAACACAUGCAAGUCGAACGGAAAGGCCCUGCUUUUGUGGGGUGCUCGAGUGGCGAACGGGUGAGUAACACGUGAGUAACCUGCCCUUGACUUUGGGAUAACUUCAGGAAACUGGGGCUAAUACCGGUUCGGAGCUCCUGCUGCAUGGUGGGGGUUGGAAAUUUUCGGAGGUUGGGGAUGGACUCGCGGCUUAUCAGCUUGUUGGUGGGGUAGUGGCUUACCAGGGCUUUGACGGGUAGCCGGCCUGAGAGGGUGACCGGCCACAUUAGGACGGAGAUGCGGCCCAGACUCCUACGGGAGGCAGCAGUGGGGAAUAUGGCACAAUGGGCGGAAGCCUGAUGCAGCAACGCCGCGUGCGGGAUGACGGCCUUCGGGUUGUAAACCGCUUUCGCCUGUGACGAAGCGUGAGUGACGGUAAUGGGUAAAGAAGCACCGGCUAACUACGUG